rnacentral:rRNA from 1 species
UCUACGGGGGGCUGCAGUGGGGAAUUUUGGACAAUGGGGGCAACCCUGAUCCAGCCAUGCCGCGUGAGUGAAGAAGGCCUUCGGGUUGUAAAGCUCUUUCGGCCGGGAAGAAAUCGCUCAAGCUAAUACCUUGGGUGGAUGACGGUACCGGAAGAAGAAGCACCGGCUAACUACGUGCCAGCAGCCGCGGUAAUACGUAGGGUGCGAACGUUACUCGGAAUUACCGGAGGCGGCGCGUGCAGAGAGGGGUGAAAUCCCCGGGCUUAACCUGGGAACUGCGUUUGUGACUGUGGUGCUCGAGUGCGGGAGAGGGGGGUGGAAUUCCACGUGUAGCAGUGAAAUGCGUAGAGAUGUGGAGGAACACCGAUGGCGAAGGCAGCCCCCUGGGUCGACACUGACGCUCAUGCACGAAAGCGUGGGGAGCAAACAGGAUUAGAUACCCGAGUAGUC